GUACCAUCUUAGGGGUCAAAAAUGUUUUCCGGACAUACCAAAAAUUUCCGGAACCUGACAAAAAUUUUCGAAACAUCACAAAAUUGACCACAAAAUUUACAGAAUUUGUCCCAUUUAUUUUUAUAAUAAACCAACGAAUAUUGCCCGACUGCCCAACAAACUGGGGAGGGGGGUGGUACGCCCAUGUAUAUAUAUGUUUACCAUUUUCUCUUUAUUAAAACCCCAGGGGGCAUAUUUUUCAGGCCUUUUGAGGGGUCUUAUUUGUGAGGAGCACUGAACAAAAUUCAUGUUUAAAAAUUGUCUUAUAACGUGUUAUUAUAGCGUAUGCCAUGUAAAAUGUAAUAUAUCCCAUAUGAAAUUGGAUAUUAAUUAAUGGACCCAAAAAUAAAAUACAAAUUACUUUGAUUAAUUAAACUGGUUGUU
rnacentral:lncRNA from 1 species